GGAUAUUUUCUAAAGUUCCACAUACCUAGGAUCCUAUCUUAUUUAUCCUGUUCAACAAUAUUGAGAGUUUUGGUACUUUGGGGUCAAUAUGCGCUCAGAGGACGACCACCCCUGAUAGAGGAGGACCGUUUCCUCGGUCAAGGGUAUAUGAGAAGCUGCGAUCCCCUGCUAGAACCUCCAAACAAGCUCUCAAGGUCAAUAUGCUCUCAGAAGUUAGGAGAAGGAAUACUGAACUAACAGUCAGGAGGCUUAAUUUCUAGACCCAGCUGUGGUAGUUUACCU
rnacentral:snRNA from 1 species